rnacentral:rRNA from 1 species
GGGGAAUAUUGCGCAAUGGGGGAAACCCUGACGCAGCGACGCCGUGUGAGGGAAGAAGGCUUUCGGGUCGUAAACCUCUGUCGGGAAGGAAGAACCCCCCAGGUCCGAAUAGGGCCUGGGGCUGACGGUACUUCCAAAGGAAGCACCGGAUAACUCCGAGCCAGCAGCCGCGGUAAUACGGAGGAUCCGAGCGUUAUCCGGAUUUAUUGGGUUUAAAGGGUGCGUAGGUGGUUUGAUAAGUCAGCGGUGAAAGUUUGCAGCUUAACUGUAAAAAUGCCGUUGAAACUGUCGGACUUGAGUGUAAAUGAGGUAGGCGGAAUGCGUGGUGUAGCGGUGAAAUGCAUAGAUAUCACGCAGAACUCCGAUUGCGAAGGCAGCUUACUAAGCUACAACUGACACUGAAGCACGAAAGCGUGGGGAUCAAACA